GAAAAGGAAGUGACCAAAAUUUACAUGUAUUUUUGUUUUGGGGGGUUUAAUUAAUUGGUCAAUCCAUUGGAUGUUAAAUAGUUAAUGCGCCAACUGGGAAAAGUUGACAUCUCCAUUGCUGUGUUACUAUACUUGUUAAAAGGAUUACUGUGAAAUUUAAGCACUUCAGUGCAAUGAGCAACUGCAAUGAGCAACUUAUAGUUUAGUAUUGUUAAUUGUUU
rnacentral:misc_RNA from 1 species